GAUAACUAGGGGGCAGCGGGCGCGGUAAUACGGAGGGGAAAAGCGUUGUCCGGAGUUAUUGGGCGUAAAGCGCGUGUAGGCGGCCAGGUAGGUCGGUUGUGAAAAUUGGAGGCUCAACCUCCAGACGUCGAUCGAAACCAUCUGGCUAGAGUCCGGAAGAGGAGAAUGGAAUUCCUGGUGUAGCGGUGAAAUGCGCAGAUAUCAGGAAGAACACCGAUGGCGAAGGCAGUUCUCUGGGACGGUACUGACGCUGAGACGCGAAAGCGUGGGGAGCGAACAGGAUUAGAUACCCCAGUAGUC
rnacentral:rRNA from 1 species